rnacentral:rRNA from 1 species
AGCAGUAGCCGCGGGAAUACGUAUGUCACGAGCGUUAUCCGGAUUUAUUGGGCGUAAAGCGCGUCUAGGUGGUUAUGUAAGUCUGAUGUGAAAAUGCAGGGCUCAACUCUGUAUUGCGUUGGAAACUGUAUAACUAGAGUACUGGAGAGGUAAGCGGAACUACAAGUGUAGAGGUGAAAUUCGUAGAUAUUUGUAGGAAUGCCGAUGGGGAAGCCAGCUUACUGGACAGAUACUGACGCUGAAGCGCGAAAGCGUGGGUAGCAAACAGGAUUAGAUACCCCAGUAGUCCCUGUCUCUUAUACA